AUUGAACGCUGGCGGCAGGCCUAACACAUGCAAGUCGAACGGCAGCACAGAAGAGCUUGCUCUUUGGGUGGCGAGUGGCGGACGGGUGAGUAAUGUCUGGGAAACUGCCCGAUGGAGGGGGAUAACUACUGGAAACGGUAGCUAAUACCGCAUAACGUCGCGAGACCAAAGUGGGGGACCUUCGGGCCUCACACCAUCGGAUGUGCCCAGAUGGGAUUAGCUAGUAGGUGGGGUAAUGGCUAACCUAGGGGACGAUCCCUAGCUGGUCUGAGAGGAUGAGCAGCCACACUGGAACUGAGACACGGUCCAGACUCCUACGGGAGGCAGAAGUGGGGAAUAUUGCACAAUGGGCGCAAGCCUGAUGCAGCCAUGCCGCGUGUAUGAAGAAGGCCUUCGGGUUGUAAAGUACUUUCAGCGGGGAGGAAGGCGGUGAGGUUAAUAACCUUGCCGAUUGACGUUACCCGCAGAAGAAGCACCGGCUAACUCCGUGCCAGCCGCCGCGGUAA
rnacentral:rRNA from 1 species